AUUGAACGCUGGCGGCAGGCCUAACACAUGCAAGUCGAACGGUAACAGGAAGCAGCUUGCUGCUUUGCUGACGAGUGGCGGACGGGUGAGUAAUGUCUGGGAAACUGCCCGAUGGAGGGGGAUAACUACUGGAAACGGUAGCUAAUACCGCAUAACGUCGCAAGACCAAAGAGGGGGACCUUAGGGCCUCUUGCCAUCGGAUGUGCCCAGAUGGGAUUAGCUAGUAGGUGGGGUAACGGCUCACCUAGGCGACGAUCCCUAGCUGGUCUGAGAGGAUGACCAGCCACACUGGAACUGAGACACGGUCCAGACUCCUACGGGAGGCAGCAGUGGGGAAUAUUGCACAGUGGGCGCAAGCCUGAUGCAGCCAUGCCGCGUGUAUGAAGAAGGCCUUCGGGUUGUAAAGUACUUUCAGCGGGGAGGAAGGGAGUAAAGUUAAUACCUUUGCUCAUUGACGUUACCCGCAGAAGAGGCACCGGCUAACUCCGUG
rnacentral:rRNA from 1 species